CCCGUCACAUCACGAAAGUUGGUUGCUCUUGAAGUCGUUGAGCUGACCCGCAAGGGAGGCAGACGCCUACGGAGUGAUCGAUGAGUUGGGGUG
rnacentral:rRNA from 1 species